GUCAUCCCGGCCCUCUGGGAGGCUGAGGCAGGAGGGUCACAAGGCGAUGUAGUGACUUAGGAAGAGGAGAUAAAACAAGGCUGAGGCUGCAGCUGAGGGCAAAGGCCAUGGGUUCGAUGCGAGUGCACGCGCAUGCGCGCACACACACACACGAGAACAGAAGCUGUGGAACAAGCGGCGAGGCAUAGACCUGCACGGCGGCCGGCGAUGGCUGGGUCGCAGGACCGAGCAGCGUCGUGGUCACGUGCGGCUGAAGCCGCGGCUGUCAUUUCUACCAUUUCCUCUCCCUUUGCCCAGAAACCCGAGAACCGGGCAGCAGAGGCCCCGGGAGAGCGCGGGCCCCGGGCAAGGGUCGGCCCUCGCGGGGAGAAGGGACAGCGGCUGCUCCACGCAGGCUCCUGGCUCGGCCUCCCGCCCCUGGUUCCACGGACGGCCCUUCCCGCCUCUGCGAGGGGACCUGAGGCAAGUGGGCCCUCCGUGUCCUCGGGGCCAGCCUUGAGUAAGCCCCUUUGUCCUUUUUGCUCAGAUAGGUGGCCUCCGGCCUGGUCAGUGGCGAGCAGAGAAACCUGAGAACGUCCGCCUAAUCAGCCAGCCACAGUGGCGCACGCCCAUGACACCAGCACGCAAGAGGCUGAGGCGGGAGAAUCACCACGAGUUGGAGGCCAGCCUGGGCUACAUAGCAAGACCGCGUCAACAACAAAAAGAAGAAGAUGGACCUCAGGGUCCCCGCACUCCCCUGUCCACCGCAGCUGAGACCUGAGGGCAGCCAGGCGUCCAGCGCGCUGGCGGGCGGGGAGGAGACGCGGGCGCAGGCCGGGUGGCUGGGCUGCCCGGAAGUGAAGGGGCGGAGCCACAGCCGGGCACUUCCGGCUGCAGCGGGUCACAGUACCGUGCCAGGCGCUCAGCCUGCCGCAGUGGUCUCAAUACAAGGAGACACCCUGAGCAAGGGCAGAGGGCAGGGGGCUGAGGGGAAGAUGCGGAGGGGAAGGCUGCACUAUGGAGGCGGAGUCAGCAGGGCCAGUGCCCCCGGCCUGUGAAGCAGCAGGUGAAAGGGCCAGGCGUCAGGACGUCGCCCGAUGUCCUCUCUCCUCCUCCUGCCCCUAGGAAGGCGGGCGGGGGAGGCUCAGGCCCGGGCAGAGGCCGUGCUGGUGCCUGUGUACUGCAGGAACAGACAGGCAGUCCUCACGUGGCACACGGAGGGCACAGCAGGGGCUGUGAGGGGCACGCGUGGCACACAGUCGGCACAGUGGACACCUGCCAGCACCUCCCGCUUCUCAGCGGGCACCUGCAGCCCGGGAUCAGCAUGGCCUGAGGAGAUGGUGAAGCCCCUGCCUGGCACCAGGACACAGCCCGGGAGACAACUGGCAGCUGCUCAACCCUCAGGGGCCCGCAGAGCAGCCUUGCUCCCAUUCCUGCCUCCUGUCCAUCCUUCCUGAGCUUUGCGGUGAAGCCCGGGGGCAGAGGCCUCAGCCUAUGCCUCCCUGGGCGGCUAUGGCCCGCACACCGUCCUCCCUGCCUUUGCCCCUUGUCCCUGCUCUGGCUAAGGCACCCGGCAGAAUGCCGCCGCCACGCCUCGCCCUGGAGGUGGCCUUGCACCCGUAGAAGCAGGGUUCCUACUGUGAAGCUGGUCCCAUGAACUUGCUGCCUGCCCAGUUCUCCUCCUCUUCCUGUAGCUCCUUUGGGCUUUUCUCCUGGACAGCGCUGGCCAGGAGGACUCGGUGGCCCGACCCUCCUCCCCAGGCGGUGCGCCCCUGGGUCUUCUCCUUUCCCUGCUGUGCUGGCCAGGAGCGCGGAUCCCAAAGACCCUGGCUGAGGCUGCCACAGACCGCAGAGGGCACAGCAGGUGUCUUCCUGGUCCCAGCGUGCCACCCUCUCCACGGGCCCAGGCCAGCUGGACGGAGCCGUCAGCUGGAGAAGGAACAGUUGCUGAGCAGAUGGCAGCCGUCACUCCUCCCCGUGUCUGCACCGUUGGAGCCCAAGGCGCCCACUGCUUCCAGGUGUCCUGACCCCCACACCUGUGUGACCCAGACGGGCAGCACCACAGUCACCUCAGACCCCUCUCAGCAAGGAAUGUGAAUGACCCUGUUUCCGGAGAGGCUGGCUGAAUGCUCCUUCUGUAGUCCCUGGGGCCGAGCCUGUGGGAGAACAGUUCCGCUGGACUCUUGUCACUGCGGCAGGGACUGCGAGACUCCAACAGUGGGUCCCUUGGCUCCCCUGGGUGGCUCAGACCCAGCCUGUGGCCUGCAGCUCCACCAGACAGCAGCUACUGCUGCUGCUAAGUGUUCUUUCAUUGUCAAGUUAAUUUCUCUGUUUUCCUUUCUUACGUAUUUCAUGGGAUAUUUUUUUUAAAAUAAAAAAUAAAGUCCAUUCCUUUGUUGAAUCUGUGUUUCUGAGGAACAUUUUCUGCUCUCGCUCUGCC
ensembl:lncRNA